CCUACGGGCGGCUGCAGUGGGGAAUAUUGGACAAUGGGGGGAACCCUGAUCCAGCCAUGCCGCGUGUGUGAAGAAGGCCCUCGGGUUGUAAAGCACUUUCAGUGAGGAAGAACGCCUGGUGGUUAAUACCCAUCAGGAAAGACAUCACUCACAGAAGAAGCACCGGCUAACUCCGUGCCAGCAGCCGCGGUAAUACGGAGGGUGCGAGCGGUAAUCGGAAUUACUGGGCGUAAAGCGCGCGUAGGUGGCUUGAUAAGCCGGUUGUGAAAGCCCCGGGCUCAACCUGGGAACGGCAUCCGGAACUGUCAAGCUAGAGUGCAGGAGAGGAAGGUAGAAUUCCCGGUGUAGCGGUGAAAUGCGUAGAGAUCGGGAGGAAUACCAGUGGCGAAGGCGGCCUUCUGGACUGACACUGACACUGAGGUGCGAAAGCGUGGGUAGCAAACAGGAUUAGAUACCCCAGUAGUC
rnacentral:rRNA from 1 species